GACAAGGAUGGUUGGGGAAGGAGGGAUGGAGAGUCAGGGUCAGGCAGCUGAGAAAACUGGGGAUCAGAGAGGUCUCAGAGGCAGUGCUCUGCCCUGGUUAAGGGGAGGACUUGGGGAGAAGUCCUGGCCCCGUGGGGACAGACCAAGACUUCCUUGUCUAUGGGCACCAGGGUGGCCUGGUUGGGCUGCAGCAAUCUGUGCUUUUGUCCAAACACCCUCUGAUGUCAAGGUAGGAUCACUGCUGACCACCUCCUGCGUAAUCCUUCUCGGGUUUUCAUGUCACAACACUGAUUCUCCCCCUGCUGUCUCACCCCAUUUUUUCAGUCUCAUUGCAGAACAACCAUCCUAUGUGUGGGUAAGCCCCCAUGGCUCUGUCCUGAGUGCUGCUCUCUAUUUUCUCUAUCUCAGUGGGUCUCAUAGGCACCCAACUCUCACUUCCCUCUUGAGGCUGAAUCACCAGCAUCUUUUGGAUGACAUGUAGGUAUCUCAAACCCAACAUGUUUAAAAUUCCCCCUUAAACCUAGCUGUAGGGCACCUCAGUCCUGCCAGUUGACCCAACUUAAGAGUCAUCUUCAACCUCCCUCCAUAUAGAAAUCAAUAGCCAAUUCUUGUCCAUCUUCCCUAUGCAACGGCCCUCCCAUAUAUCUCUUUUCCUCUUCCUCCAUGGAAACCCCCAUCACUCUACUGCAGGAGUCUGCCAGUGGGUCAGCCCGCCUAAGUCUCUCCUCUUCAGCCUGUGCUCCACACAAGCUGCCAGAAAAUCUUAAAUCUCAGAUCUGACCACGUCACUUCUCUGCUCAAUAUACUUCUCCCUAUUGCCUUGAAGACAAACUCAACAUCUCUCCCCUUGGGAUUUAAAGCCUGGCACUAUUUGGCUCUGGCUUCCCUUUCCCAAUGGUUACACAUUACUCCUUCCAACUUCAGCGCCCAAGUAAGACUCCACCUUUUGCCCUUGCAUAGACUUGUCUCCUAAGUCUAUACCUGUCCCAUCCUUACCCCUGCCUCUUGAACCUUCCAGUUCCCUUUAAGGCUCAGUUUUAGUGUCUCUUUCAAGAUCUCUCUCAUCCCUCCAAUUGUUAUUGCCCUCACAAUAAAAUUAUGUAUUUGUUAUAUAUAAUGGCAUACUAGAUGAAGAGAAAGCUGGCCUUGGGGCCAGAAAAACCUGAGUUCAAAUCCCACCACUGACUUAUCAUAGUUGUGGGACCCAAGGCAAGUCCCAAUCUCUCAAUGCUCCCAGUCAACCUUCUAGAUUUUAAGUGGUGGAGAAGGUUCCCAGUGCUUUAAUAGGGGAGUUUCUUUCUUUUUUUUAAAAAAUAGCUUUUUAUUGACAAAACAUACAUAUAGGUAAUUUUUCACCAUUGACCCUUGCAAAGCCUUCUGUUCCAACUUUUCCCCUCCUUCCCUCCACUCCCUCCAAUAGGGGAGUUUCUUACAGUUCUAGGAAAAAUUCUUCUGUUUAUCAGUGGCCCAAUAGUAAAAUAGAAACCUGUUGCAGACAAAGAUGAUUCCAAAAAAUCCCACACAAUAGGUGUUUUCAAGAAAUACUAGGUGGUCCUUAAGGAUGGAAGCUCUGGUUUAUUCAUCCCGUAUGCCAUCCCAGAGAGUUGAGCCCAUGGGCAAAACAAAAAUAUGAUUAAAACUUCCAUGUUUAUAAUAUUUUGAAGAAGGAAGAGAAAGAUUAUCUUGAUGUGGCACAUGGGAAUAAUGAGGCAUAAAGGAGCCUCAUGAAGGAAUAAAUGAAUGUGAAGGCAAAGCACUGGGCUUGCCCUUGGCCAGGUAAGCUGCAUUGGGCAUUAUAGUGCCAGGCCCUGGUCCCAGAGAGGACAGACAGCAAGGACCAUGGGAUGGCAGGAUUAGAGCAGGGAGGAACUCUGGAGAAGACAAGACUACUCAAAUAUGGAAUGUCAGAGAUGAACAGGCUCUUGGAGCACAGAAUAUAAAAGCAGCAAAAGAUCGGAGGAAACUGAAUUUAAGGUGCUUGCCCAAUGUCACAAAGCAGAAGGACAGAGAUCUGAACUUAUGACCUUUGAUGCUAAAUCUAGUUCUCUUUCUGCCAUACUAUGCCUUCAGUUUCUGUUUCUUCCUCACGUUAGGUGAACAGCUGCUGGCCAUGAGGUAUCCCUAUCUCUCUUAGCUUAGCCAUUGGCCAUGAAGUAUCCUCCUCUCUCAGCUUAGCCAUUGGCCAUGAGGUAUCUCCUCUCUUAGCUUAGCCAUUGGCCAUGAGUAUCCCCCUCUUUUAGCUUAGCCAUUGGCCAUGAGGUAUCCUCCUCUCUUAGCUUUGCCAUUGGCCAUGAGGUAUCUCCUCUCUUAGCUUAGCCAUUGGCCAUGAAGUAUCUCCUCUCUUAGCUUAGCCAUUGGCCAGUAUCCCCCUCUCUUAGCUUAGCCAUUGGCCAUGAGUAUCCCCCUCUCUUAGCUUAGCCAUUGGCCAUGAGUAUCCCCCUCGCUUAGCUUAAUCAUUGGCUGUGAGGUAUCCUCCUCUCUUAGCUUAGCCAUUGGCCAUGAGAUA